GGGUCUUUAGCUCAGCAGUAGAGCGGCAGACUUCGGCUUCUUCGAAGAUUCAAUCAUGGUAUUCUGCAGGUCGCGGGUUCAAUCCCCGUAGGACUCU
rnacentral:tRNA from 1 species